AUUGAACGCUGGCGGCAUGCCUUACACAUGCAAGUCGAACGGUAACGCGGGGCAACCUGGCGACGAGUGGCGAACGGGUGAGUAAUGCAUCGGAACGUGCCCAAUAGUGGGGGAUAGCCCGGCGAAAGCCGGAUUAAUACCGCAUACGACCUGUGGGUGAAAGCGGGGGAUCGCAAGACCUCGCGCUAUUGGAGCGGCCGAUGUCAGAUUAGGUAGUUGGGGGGGUAAAGGGCUACCAAGCCUGCGAUCUGUAGCUGGUCUGAGAGGACGCCCAGCCACACUGGGACUGAGACACGGCCCAGACUCCUACGGGAGGCAGCAGUGGGGAAUUUUGGACAAUGGGCGCAAGCCUGAUCCAGCCAUGCCGCGUGCGGGAAGAAGGCCUUCGGGUUGUAAACCGCUUUUGUCAGGGAAGAAAUGUUCUGGGUUAAUACCUCGGAAAAAUGACGGUACCUGAAGAAUAAGCACCGGCUAACUACGUGCCAGCCGCCGCAGUAACAC
rnacentral:rRNA from 1 species